AAGGGAUAACAUACAAACUCCACACAGGAAGGCCGGGAACGGAUUUGAACCCACAUUCUCGGCACUGUGAGGCAGACAUGCUAACAAGUCGACUACUGUGCCUCCCGUGAAAUGAUUUAUAAUAUAAAAAAAAUGGCAAAUGUGUCACAUUUCUCUUACUGUCUUCCACAAGGCGGUAAUCAAAGGUCGCUUUUUCUCAGUUAAGAUUUAGACAAAUUUUGUCAGUUCAAUGUGAGCUGACAUUAUUGCAUUGAGAUUGCUUUUAUGUUGAGUGCUGCACCAUCUGUACAAAAAGUAUUCAUGCUUUAUAACUCGGUGAAGUUCAACUGGUGAGAUUCAUAGCUUUCAUGGUGCACUAAGAAUGAUCAAUUCUGUCAAAUAAUACAAGUUGAACUCCAAACUAUAAAUCACAAGUCUUGGGAUUUAUUUACAAAGAGAGACAGGAACAAAGGAAAAUGAAAGCUGCAUCAAUACAUAUAUAUAGAAUACUUUUAACACCAUGCAUACUAGGGAUUGGUCACCAAGUUUAUCCCAGUACCAAUGACAUUCACAAUUGUGUGUAGUGAACCAAAUGAUGUACCAUUUCUGUUGUUGAUUGUAUUCUGUUUUUUAAACAAACGGUGAAAUGUGAAA